CUUUUUACCCCAAGUAAAGAGGAUCUGAAUGUUUUGACCAUGUCCUCUUUCACUGUCCCUUGUGCUUUCUACAUUUGGUGUCUAGUAUCUGACUACCCACUCGUCUUUGAUGAUUUUUUAUCUAAGCUUUGUCGACAGGUGGAUCCAGUUCUCACCUCUAUUUUCUCUUGUGAUGAAUUGGAAAUUUUGGCUGUCGUUUGUUGGGCGAUUUGGUAUGACCCAAACAAGGUAAUUCAUGGUGCCUCCAUUGAUGAUGUUGUAAAUUGUGUCUGCUGGAUUUAAAGUUAUUUGUAUGAGAUUUCCUAAAUGAGUAGCUCAAAUUAUAGAAUUUAUUUUAUUUUACUUUUGGUAUUUGAAACCAAAAUCUGAGAUAGUGGGAGAAGAUAAUUAAUUUGGAUUGAUUUUAUAAAAGAUUUGAAGGAAUUUAAAUAUGGAUUGAGUUUCAGUUUAAUCAAGAGGAUUUGAGAAUAUGGGGUUUAAUUUAAGAAAUGUGAAUAAUUAGUAUGGAGAUUUAAAAUUUAGAUUUUAUUUGAAUUUAAGUUGAUAGAUUUAAUUUUUGGGAGAAAACUAAAUAAAAGUGUGCUGAGGUGAGAGAUUUGGGAUUGAUAUGAUUGAAAGGAUGAAGUAUAUAUAUAUAUAUAUAUAUUUAUUUUAUGAAGGAAGAGGAAAAGAAAUAUAUGUGUAUAUAUCAAGUACUCCUUCAGACGCGUGCAGAAAAUUUUUUUUAAAAAAAAAGAAAAAAGAAAAAGAUUUUCCCUCUUCUCCUUCACGUGCUCAGCCCAGUGGAGAACCCCCUCCAUCUUCUUCUUCACGUUUAACCAACCAUAGUCGCCAGCCCUCACCGCGCCGCCCUUCCUCCGGUCCACCACCGACCGUCAGGGACCUACGCACACGAACCCACCGACGACCGCCGCUUGCCCAACGCACCAGAUCGCACUUCCCUCUGCAGCCAAUCGGUCGUUCCGCCACUUUUCUACCCACGUCGUCGUUCUGAUCGACGCUCAACCUCGGAUUUCGCCGGAUUCGAUUUUGGAAGGGUGGGAAUAGAUUGGCGAGUGAGGAAAGGGCCCGUGACUAUGCCAUAAGGGGACAGAACAAAUCGCUUUCGCUUAGGCUAUGUUUUUUUUUAAAGUUAUUUGAAAAUUUUAAUAUUGAACAUAAAAUUUUAUUUUAUUAUUUUGAUUAAUUUCUUUGCAAACAA